rnacentral:rRNA from 1 species
GCUGUCGUCAGCUCGUGUUGUGAAAUGUUGGGUUAAGUCCCGCAACGAGCGCAACCCUUAUCCUUUGUUGCCAGCGGUUAGGCCGGGAACUCAAAGGAGACUGCCAGUGAUAAACUGGAGGAAGGUGGGGAUGACGUCAAGUCAUCAUGGCCCUUACGAGUAGGGCUACACACGUGCUACAAUGGCGCAUACAAAGAGAAGCGACCUCGCGAGAGCAAGCGGACCUCAUAAAGUGCGUCGUAGUCCGGAUUGGAGUCUGCAACUCGACUCCAUGAAGUCGGAAUCGCUAGUAAUCGUA